GGGGGGGGGGGGGGGGGGGGGGGGGGGGGGGGGGGGGGGGGGGGGCGGGGUGAGGUGGGGGGGGGCGGGCGGGGGAGUGGUGUAUCGGGGCGUGCCCGGGCGUGGGGGGUGGGUGCGCGAACGGGCAGCUAAUACCGCAUACGACCUGAGGGAGACAGCGGGGGAUCGCGAGACCUCGCGCGAUUGGAGCGGCCGAUAUCAGAUUAGGUCGAUGGUGAGGUACAGGCUCACCAAGCCGACGAUCUGUAGCAGUUCUGAGAGGACGACCAGCCACACUGGGACUGAGACACGGCCCAGACUCCUACGGGAGGCAGCAGUGGGGAAUUUUGGACAAUGGGCGCAAGCCUGAUCCAGCCAUGCCGCGUGCGGGAAGAAGGCCUUCGGGUUGUAAACCGCUUUUGUCAGGGAAGAAAAGGUUCUGGCUAAUACCUGGGACUCAUGACGGUACCUGAAGAAUAAGCACCGGCUAACUACGUG
rnacentral:rRNA from 1 species